UCCGGCUAGCUGUCAAAAAGAAUUAUAGACCCCUUGACAUAAAGUUAUCCAUAUUUUGAGUGAGAAGUAAGAGAUUUUUCUUUAAUCCCCUCCCCCCUCCAAAAGAAAAGAUGUAAAAAACACUGUGUUUUAUUUUAUUUAUGUGAGGGAGUCGGGUGACACAGUGUGUUCCUUUUCCCAAAUUUCUCUUUUCUUUUUUCUCCUGAUCCCAUCUUUGUGUGCCUGUGCAGUGUAUUCAUUACCCCACUUUUUAUAAUCCUAUUUCCAACAUCCCCACUUCAGUUUGUAGCCUCAACCCCAACCUUGUAAAGGCCUUUCUCAAUCGAAUAAUUUUGUUAAACUAGUUCUCCGAUCAAUAUCUUUUAUUUCCCAUUUUCCUUGUGGUUUUAAUUUGUUUGAGUUCCUUUUAUAAGAUUAUAUAUAUCAUUCUUGGAAGUUCAUAAUAUCAUGUUCCAUUGUCAAAUUCUGCAAACUGCAAAAUUUAUCACAAAUAUUGAUACAUGUAUCACCGUUUUCAGGCAUGAUCCUAAACAUGCUAAAAUUGAAAAUCAGUGAUCAGAUUACACGAGCCCCCUUCUGAAGAUAGUAUUAAACGCACUUCAAAACGCACAUUAUAUGACAUGCGUAUUACAAUGGCC
rnacentral:lncRNA from 1 species